UCUGACGUAAACCGUGAUAUGGCCUUUCC
rnacentral:piRNA from 1 species